AGAGUUUGAUCAUGGCUCAGGAUGAACGCUAGCGGGAGGCCUAACACAUGCAAGCCGAGCGGUAUUGUUUCUUCGGAAAUGAGAGAGCGGCGUACGGGUGCGGAACACGUGUGCAACCUGCCUUUAUCUGGGGGAUAGCCUUUCGAAAGGAAGAUUAAUACUCCAUAAUAUAUUGAACGGCAUCGUUUAAUAUUGAAAGCUCCGGCGGAUAGAGAUGGGCACGCGCAAGAUUAGCUAGUUGGUGAGGUAACGGCUCACCAAGGCAAUGAUCUUUAGGGGCCUGAGAGGGUGAUCCCCCACACUGGUACUGAGACACGGACCAGACUCCUACGGGAGGCAGCAGUGAGGAAUAUUGGUCAAUGGGUGCAAGCCUGAACCAGCCAUCCCGCGUGAAGGACGACUGCCCUAUGGGUUGUAAACUUCUUUUGUAUAGGGAUAAACCUUUCCACGUGUGGAAAGCUGAAGGUACUAUACGAAUAAGCACCGGCUAACUCUGUG
rnacentral:rRNA from 1 species